rnacentral:rRNA from 1 species
AACGAACGCUGGCGGCAGGCCUAACACAUGCAAGUCAAACGCUGUAGCAAUACAGAGUGGCAGACGGGUGAGUAACGCGUGGGAACCUUCCCAGUGGUACGGAAUAGCUCAGGGAAACUUGAGGUAAUACCGUAUAAGCCCCUAGGGGGAAAGAUUUAUCGCCAUUGGAUGGGCCCGCGUCGGAUUAGCUAGUUGGUGAGGUAAUGGCUCACCAAGGCGACGAUCCGUAGCUGGUCUGAGAGGAUGAUCAGCCACACUGGGACUGAGACACGGCCCAGACUCCUACGGGAGGCAGCAGUGGGGAAUAUUGGACAAUGGGCGCAAGCCUGAUCCAGCCAUGCCGCGUGAGUGACGAAGGCCUUAGGGUUGUAAAGCUCUUUUGGCGGGGACGAUAAUGACGGUACCCGCAGAAUAAGCUCCGGCUAACUUCGUGCCAGCCGCCGCUGUAACAC